rnacentral:rRNA from 1 species
GGGGGGGGGGGGGGGGGGGGUGGGGGGGGGCGGGGCGUGGGGGGAGCGGGGGUGGGGGGGCCUGGCCAGGGCGGGCGGGUGGGUAGCGCGUGGGGAACUUGCCCUGCAGGCAGGGGUCACAGACGGAAACGGCUGAUAAGACCUGGUAACGUCAGGCGGACUCAUGUCCAGCCUGAUGGAAAGAGAUGCUGCAGGAGAGCCUUGCGUCCUAUUAGCUUGUUGGUGGGGUAACGGCCCACCAAGGCGAUGAUAGGUAGCCGGCCUGAGAGGGGGGACGGCCACAAGGGGACUGAGAUACGGCCCUUACUCCUACGGGAGGCAGCAGUGGGGAAUAUUGGACAAUGGGGGCAACCCUGAUCCAGCAAUUCUGUGUGCACGAUGAAGGUUUUCGGAUUGUAAAGUGCUUUCAGCAGGGAAGAAAAAAAUGACGGUACCGGCAGAAGAAGCGACGGCUAAAUACGUG